rnacentral:rRNA from 1 species
GGAGGAAAAGAAACCAACAGGGAUUGCCCUAGUAACGGCGAGUGAAGCGGCAACAGCUCAAAUUUGAAAUCUGGCUCUUUCAGAGUCCGAGUUGUAAUUUGCAGAGGGCGCUUUGGCGUUGGCAGCGGUCCAAGUUCUUUGGAACAGGACGUCACAGAGGGUGAGAAUCCCGUACGUGGUCGCUAGCCUUCGCCGUGUAAAGCCCCUUCGACGAGUCGAGUUGUUUGGGAAUGCAGCUCUAAAUGGGAGGUAAAUUUCUUCUAAAGCUAAAUACUGGCCAGAGACCGAUAGCGCACAAGUAGAGUGAUCGAAAGAUGAAAAGCACUUUGGAAAGAGAGUCAAAUAGCACGUGAAAUUGUUGAAAGGGAAGCGCUUGCAGCCAGACUUGCCUGUAGUUGCUUAUCCGGACUUUUGUCCGGUGCACUCUUCUGCGGGCAGGCCAGCAUCAGUUUGGGCGGUUGGAUAAAGGUCUCUGUCAUGUACCUCCUUUCGGGGAGGCCUUAUAGGGGAGACGACAUGCAACCAGCCUGGACUGAGGUCCGCGCAUCUGCUAGGAUGCUGGCGUAAUGGCUGUAAGCGGCCCGUCUUGAAACACGGACCAAGGAGUCUAACAUCUAUGCGAGUGUUUGGGUGUCAAGCCCAGACGCGUAAUGAAAGUGAACGGAGGUGGGAACCCUUUGGGUGCACCAUCGACCGAUCCUGAUGUCUUCGGAUGGAUUUGAGUAAGAGCAUGGCUGUUGGGACCCGAAAGAUGGUGAACUAUGCUUGAAUAGGGUGAAGCCAGAGGAAACUCUGGUGGAGGCUCGCAGCGGUUCUGACGUGCAAAUCGAUCGUCAAAUUUGGGCAUAGGGGCGAAAGACUAAUCGAAC